CGGGUUGUAGUUUAAUUGGUAAAACAUCAAGCUCAUAACUUGAGUAAUGGAGGUUCAAUUCCUCUUUUCCCGG
rnacentral:tRNA from 1 species